rnacentral:lncRNA from 1 species
UUUUUGUAGUUUUUAGCCUAUGCUGCAGGUUGUAGAUUUUUAAGUUUGUUUAGUAAUGAUUGAAGGAUGUUUUGAGUUGCCAAUUUACCACCCUUCGACCUUCGUAGCGUACCUGGGACGGAGCCGGGGAGCUGCUGCUAUUUUCGAUUAUUCAGUACCUACUACCUAGGCGAGCAGGUUGUUACUGUCCAUGUGUUCAGAUUAUUUGUUGGUGUCUCCCUCGUGAAACUUAGGAACCAGUCUGGUAGUAAAGACUUUCCUCUGAAUCACCACUGUGGUAUGAUCUUCUCUCCAUUAAGGCCGUGCCUUGGGAGGAACGUUUACUUUUAUACAGUUUUUGAUUUCUAGUUCGGGCCAAAAAAAAAUUAAAAAAUUAAAAAAACUAACGUAAUCUGAAUCUGUCGGUUUUUGUUUUAUAUCUAUAAUUAAAUUAUUAUUAUAUAUAUUAAGUAUUGAGUAAAUCCAUUUCGGCGGCAUUUGGGUUCAGAUUAAUUUUUUUAGUCCGAGUUACGUAUUAACAUUUUUAAGAGGUAUGUAGUAGCUAGAAAAAAAAGUAAAAAAAUGUGAAAGUUACAUUGGUUACAUUGGUGAUGUGGUGCUUUCAAUUUAUCAAUUAUAAGGGCCAUUCAAUUCAAUUCAUCAUGAUUUUAAAAAAUAAUUUAUUAUUUUAAAAAUAAUAUAAUUGAUUAAAUAUAAAUGAUAAUUGAUUAAAUAUAAAUGAUGUAAUGUGAUUGCUAUCUAGUAGACUUUGUUUAUAGUUAGAGCUUAGAAAAUAUACAAUGUGAUUUUUUUUUUUUUUUAUUUGAUCUAUAAACAGUUUAUGUGAUAUAAUAUUUUUUGAGACCAUAAAUUUUUGAAUUGGGGUCGUCGGCUGGACAAAAAUUUUAUAGGCAUAAUCUCAAAAUUAAUUAGUUUAGGGACUAUGCGGAUCGGUUCCACGUGACCGAUCCGACGAAUGCCUUUCUCAAAUUUCUUUUUAUCUCUCUCUAAUAAAAAUUUUGUCCUUGUCAGCUUGAGGUGCGAGCGACAAUUAAUUUCUCCACUGCAGCACUUAUUGGUUUGCUUCCUGACAAGUAGCAGUCCACGUGACAGCAGGCCGUGCGCCAAGACCUUGGUGCGUGGAGGUGAGCUGGUUGGAUCGAGGCGGAAAAGCCGGUGGGAGGAGCGUGACGCUGACGAGUUGGACUUGCUUCAUUACGGAGACGACACCCCAAGCCCUCUCCUCCUCCUCCUCCAUUCAUCAAAUCACCGAAUUGACGAGAGGUCUCUCUGCUAUCGCUGUACAAUUAAUUUAAAAAAAAGCAUUGCAUUAGUUCGAGAAUUUAAUAAUAAUAAUAGUAUAAAUACAAUAUAAGGAAAUCAAAUGAUACUUUAUUUAUUUAUUUUAAAUACGAGCUUUGCCAAGUAUUUCUCGGGCCCACCUUGGGCCAACAUUUUCUUUCUUUUCCACCGUUUUGUGGUCCCCGCAACCGUGAUAUGCCGCGCCUGUGGGGCCCACGAGACUCUGGGCCCAUGUCGGAUGCACGUCUCCCUCCAAAGUCCUAGUGAUAGUAACUACGAUGGAUCGGAUCCUACCACCGACCUGUUGCAAUCUCCACCGUCCGAUAUCGGGCGUUCCCGAUCAGACUUCUGGACUCUCCUGGAUGGCGGGUUCCAGCAUCCAACCGACGUCGGCUCGUGCCACGUGCAACAGGAUCCGGCGAUACAUUCCACACAAGGGGCGAAUGGGAUAUCCCUCCCUCCCUCCCUCC